UGAGGUUUGCUGGUGGGAACGUAACAGAUGUGCGAUAUUAUCAGAUGUAUCGUCAUGGUGGCACUCACUGACAAGCAUGUGUUGACUAUAGCCACUGCUGACGGCGCCUGAGCUAGUUGGUUUUCCACCAGACUUUCAACGUAGCUAUUUGUGGUCGCCACUGACAGGAAAAGGGAACAGUUACCUAGGGAGUGGAGUGUCCAGGCUAAGGAUGUGGAGCAUGCGAGGCGACGGGUCAGCGAUAUUGGACUGUCAUGGAACAGGAAGUUGGCAGUCACGAAUAUUGUUGAGAUUUACAUAUUCGGAAAACUGCAAGAGUGGGGUGACAUGUUCGGAUUUCUCCUGGAUGGGUAAAAGGAACUGGCCUGAAGGAAAAUGCAGUAGAGUUGCCACACUUUAAGGAAUGAGUAAACUUUCUUCUUUUUAGAGUUUUAGACUAUACUACGGUCUAUAAGUAUUAACAGUAGGGAUGUAUAUGACUUAAACAAAAAACUGUGAAAUGUGUUAUGAAGUCGAUAAAAUGCAUUUAUGACUUGACCUUGUCUUCAGUUGCCGAUAAGAAAAAUGUACAUCCAUUAAAAAAAAAAAACACCAUUGCCAAUCUCCACAUGGCGCUUCCAUAAGUGAAUAGAAUUCCUCCAAUGACGAGGAAGUCAGAAGCUCCUCAGGAACUGAUUAGAACACUUUCCCCUGCUAGCAGCGAAAGGUAACUCGUGGUGAAAAGACUUCAACCUCUGCAGCUUAGAGGAUUAUGAGCGGUUCAGUAGUCCGGCUCAAAUAGGCAUUUGAAAGGAACGGAUAAGAACGCGUAAAUUUUGAUAAUGUGAUCGAUAAGUUCGCUAGAAAGCUAAAAAGAUUGAUGUAGAAAGAUUCAUUUAUACGAAAAAUAACAUGUGAUCUGCCUAUUACCAUUGUUUAAUUCGUUUUACCAUUGUUCAACUUCACAGUGAGAAAUUCUCAUGCCACAAGCUGACUUUUGCCCCCAGGCGUCUCUCAAAGCCCAACACGCCUCUGGUAAAAUGUCAUUUUUCUUAAUAACGCUAAAAAAAGUCAGCACAAUGCAGUCUUCCCUACUAUGCUUGCAAUGCAUAUGGAUCUUGGCAUGCUGAGACUUAACCACGGUGCGUUGACUGGCUUUUCCUUCCCGACCAAGAGUGGGCCAAGGAUAAAGAUGACUUGUGACGCUGCUAGGUUGUUUCACAAGCCGAUGUAACUGAGAAACUGUGUAUUAAUGUUCCUUUUUCUUACCGAUGAAUUGAUCAUAGAUUGAGACGUCGACGCGUGUUUUAAGUUAUUUAGGAAAUCCUCUUUGCCUCUCUUUUCAUUCUUUCCUGUCUCUCUCCUAAAAUCUAAAUAAAGAACAGAACUGCAAUAACUACAUCUCGAGACAUCACCGAAUCAACUUCAAAGGAUGUCCGGAAUAACAAAUAAUAAAAAAUAUAAAACAGA